rnacentral:misc_RNA from 1 species
UACAAAUUCAGGAACGGCAAAUAACAAAGGGAGAGACUGAUAAAUAUCCAUCAUUAGAACAUCAUGCGAGAGAAGUGUUCUUGAAAUCAUCAGUUCGAUCUCCUUUGAUCAUCUUAUGCAAUUGGGUAGCAAAGAAACUAACAGCAACUUCAGAAAUAUACAUUCUCCCUUCAACAAUUUCUUUCAGUACUUGAUUCUCCCACCAUAUAUCCAUAUCAACAAGAUGCAUAUAGUAAAAUAUCCAGAGAAAGCGCAAAGGAUGAACAUAAAAGAUACUAGAAGUGCAUGGCAGAGCUUGAUUCAUCAUUCCCUGUGCUUGGACUAGGCUUCUUUUUCUUCUUUUUGUAAGGAAUACCUCUUGCCUUAGCUUGACAGUCCCUAACCUCCCUUAGA